ACAAAGCUGUCAAUAAACACAAUUUUAUUGUGCCGUUAUACUUGUGCACGAGCUAUACCCAAACGAUAAGAGUAUCUCAGAGCUCCAUCAGCCUCAUUAUCAUAUCAUAUUGUCCCGCAUUUCCUUACAAAGUCGUGUGGAGGCGACAUCGCAACAACUCAUAAAGCAUCUUGGCCAGAUCAUCGCAUCAUAAUGGCGGCUUUUACGACACUCGUAACAGCAUUCUCGAAUGACUAACUUGUAUUCGAUUGGGACAUGGAGCGGAAAAUUGACACUUCCAGUGAAACGACUCUUAGUUUCGAGCCUCCAAGGGCCUGUUUUACUGCCUGAUGAUAAGGUAUCUGACAGCCUUAAUGUAAUAUAUCCAGAUAGUGUUGAAAAUUGUUUUGACCAAUGUUGGAUAGGGCCACCUGAAAAAAUCUUCAGGCAGAUUUAUCUACACAUCCAGUGAAUGUGAAAGUCCACGUGUCUUAUAUCCACGUCCAAAAGAGCGCGUGGCCAACAAUCGUCGUUUGAAUGAACAAGGGACUUUCAGAGUCUCUUUCAGAGUAGUGAGAAUUAAAUAGGUUUAAGUGAGGCGUAGAGCAAAUUGAACGUGACUACUCCGGCCAGGGCGG